rnacentral:rRNA from 1 species
CCGGGAGGAAGGUGGGGACGACGUCAAGUCAUCAUGGCCCUUACAUCCAGGGCUACACACGUACUACAAUUUAAAAGGAUUCUGAUGUUGCCAAGCCGCGAGGCCGCGCUAAUCCCAAAAAAUCCU